rnacentral:rRNA from 1 species
GGGUACUCGAGCGGCGAACGGGUGAGUAACACGUGAGCAACCUGCCCUAGGCUUUGGGAUAACCCCGGGAAACCGGGGCUAAUACCGGAUAGGACCUGGCAUCGCAUGGUGUUGGGUGGAAAGUUUUUCGGCCUGGGAUGGGCUCGCGGCCUAUCAGCUUGUUGGUGGGGUGAUGGCCUACCAAGGCGACGACGGGUAGCCGGCCUGAGAGGGCGACCGGCCACACUGGGACUGAGACACGGCCCAGACUCCUACGGGAGGCAGCAGUGGGGAAUAUUGCACAAUGGGCGGAAGCCUGAUGCAGCACGCCGCGUGAGGGAUGACGGCCUUCGGGUUGUAAACCUCUUUCAGCAGGGACGAAGCGCAAGUGACGGUACCUGCAGAAGAAGCGCCGGCCAACUACGUGCCAGCAGCCGCGGUAAGACGUAGGGCGCGAGCGUUGUCCGGAUUUAUUGGGCGUAAAGAGCUCGUAGGCGGCUUGUCGCGUCGACUGUGAAAACCCGUGGCUCAACUGCGGGCCUGCAGUCGAUACGGGCAGGCUAGAGUUCGGUAGGGGAGACUGGAAUUCCUGGUGUAGCGGUGAAAUGCGCAGAUAUCAGGAGGAACACCGGUGGCGAAGGCGGGUCUCUGGGCCGAUACUGACGCUGAGGAGCGAAAGCGUGGGGAGCGAACAGGAUUA